CGGGACUGAGGUCCCAAGGAUGGCCCUGACCAGCUCGCGGCACGGCGAGCAAGGGCCAGGGCAGGGUUUCCCUUCCUGGGAGCCCCCUGACAUCCCUGGAGCCUGGCUGCAAGGCACAGCGCCGCUAAGGCUGCGAGCCCUUGCGCAGGCCUGGGCCGGGUGCCUCACCAGCGAGUGAGGAAACAGGGUAGCACGGAGCACGCUGGACGUGGGGGUGGCGCGCAGCCCUCUGCACCACCGCUUCCCCUGGCCUUUCCCCAGGCAGGCUCCUCCUCUCGCAGGCCUCCUCGCACUGGGGCCCCCGCUGCUCUAAUUCGCUUUUUUACGGAGCAGGAAGCCUCAGGAAGGGGCAGCCGCCGAGUCUGCCGCGUCUUCUGCCAUGGCCCCAGCACCCGGCCUCGAGCGCGCGGUCAGGACCCUGCCAUGGAUUCUGCAUUUCCAGACACUCAGCUUUGUCUGAAGGAAGCACUAAAGACAAUGGAUUUGGGAGCUCAGCGGACCUCCUCUACAUCUCAUUGGCCAGGAUGGUGACAUGUGACCAUUUCCUUGCUGCAAGGGAAGCUGGGAAAGAGAGUCUGGUACCUGACCGACAGCAACCCUGAGCAAGCUGUGAAGGAAGAGUGGGCGUUAGCGGUGAUGUCAUCCACUUACAAGAUUCCCGCCUGCUGUAAUUUCCAUUGCUGGACUUCCGGGCAGAAAGAAUGGGCUAAUAGUUCUCAAUCCCAGCCCAUAAUGAUCUGCUGGUGCCUUCAUAAAAAUGUCCAUGUUGGAGCCCCACCUGGGGCCUCAGAGCAGAGCUUCUGAGCGUAUGGCCCAGGCCUGGGCACUGCUCUGCGUGUGGCCAGGGAGAGCACCUGUGGUCUCUGCACCAGGUGUGUGCAGCCUCGCUGCGGGGUGUGGGCGGGGACAGAUGGGUGAAGUGGAGGUGGAAGAAAAUCUCAGGGCAGGGCUCUCUGAGAAACACAAGUGGGAAAAGCCCUGCUCAGCAGGCACGGGGUUCAAUUCCACUUCCAGUUCCCCUUCUUCUAGUUCCAAGAACUACGGUUGAAAGCAGAAAUCAGAGUGAUCCUGAAACCCAAAGCCAAGCCUCUGUGUUCAGAGGGGGUGAGGCCCUCACUCUUAGCCUUCAGACUGAAGGGAACCUGUGAGGGAACUUCCAAAGGUUCAUGGAAUAUAGAAUUAAAAGGGAAGUUCGGGUGCAAAAAAAUUGAAAUCUGUGCCUUGGUUUCUUGUAAUAUGCACAUUUUUAAAAAAAUUUAUUUAUUGGGGGGGGGAGCACUCUCAUUCUCUGGAUCACUCCCCAAAUACGCAAAAGGGCCAGGGUUGGGUCCGACCACAGUCAGGAGCCAGAAACUCAAUCCAAGUCUCCCCUGUGGGCGGCAGGGGCCUGAGUACUUCAGCCAUCCCCUGCGGCCUCUCCGGAGCUGCAUCUGCAGGAGCAGGGCUCAGACUGGAACCCAGGCAGGAGCAGGGCUCAGACUGGAGCCCAGGCAGGAGCAGGGCUCAGACUGGAACCCAGGCAGGAGCAGGGCUCAGACUGGAACCCAGGCGCUGUGAUCCGGGAUGCAGGCAUACAGAGCAGUAUCUUAAUGACCAAGUCAAGUGGCUGCCCCCUGGUAUGCGUUUUCAAAGACCCCUCGCAUGCAUGGAUUUCAAUUCUUUCUUGCACCAAAAUAAACAUUUUUAAAAUCCCACCUCCUGUGACCUUUUGCUGUCUUCCCCAAACACUGGCUCUCUUCAGGCCUACACAACGGUUUUGCCCACCUUGGGUUUCCAUCUCCGUCUCCACUCAUCUUCAGCUGGCACUUAAAAAAAUUAAAGUCCAUGGAGACACCUUCCAGUGAUGUGGGGAGUGAGAACCUGGGAGUCCCACUGCCUGCCAGACUCAGGCAAAAAGCUUUUAAGGACUUUAUCUCUUCAAAGAUGGUUAUCUUCGCGGUUUAUGUAAUCAUCAGUCUCCUCGGAUUAGGAGCUGUGCCUCUGAUGAGGGGCUGUGGAGCCUUAUCAAAUGAAAGCAUUAAAACAUUCCAGCCAUGGAGACCAACGGCUGGCACUUGGAGAGGGGAAGCCUUCAGGAUCUUGCACGACCAAAAAACUGCUAGAAACACUGCCGUAUAUUUUACGCAAUGUGCCAUGAGUUUUUUUAAAAUAAUUUUUAUUUCUUUGAAAGGCAGAGAGACAGAGGGAGAAAUAGAGCAAAAAAGAAAGAGAUCUCCCAUCUCCUGGUACACAUCCCAAAUGGCCACAAUGGCCAGGCCCAAGCCAGAAGCCCAGAGCUCCAUCACGGUUUCCCAUGUGGGUGAUGGGGCCCCAGUCCUUAGGCCAUCGUGGGCUGCCUUCCCAGGAGCACUAGCAGGGAAGCUGGAUCAGAAGCCCAGCAGCCAGGACUGGAACUGGAGCUCUGACAUGGGACAAGGGCAUCACAAGUAGUGACUUAACACGCUGCACCACAACACCAGCCCCCAGCGAUGAUUCUUUUUUCUCUGAUAACUACCAUCAGCCCUCUGCAUCUGUGGGUUCCCCAUUCAUCAAGUUAACCAAGCACAGAUCCAAGAAAUUGCAUCUGUGGGGCUGGCACUGUGGCGCAGCGGGUUAAAGCCCUGGCCUGAAGUGCCGGCAUCCCAUGUGGGCGCCGGUUCGAGUCCCAGCUGCUCCUCUUCCGAUCCAGCUCUCUGCUAUGGCCUGGGAAAGCAGCAGAAGAUGGCCCACGUCCUUGGGCCCCUGCAUCCAUGUGGGAGACCCGGAGGAAACUCCUAGCUCCUGGCUUUGGAUCGGCGCAGCUCCGGCCAUUGCGGCCAUCUGGGGAGUGAACCAACAGAUGGAAGACCUCUCUCUCUGUCUCUACCUCUCUCUGUAACUCUGUCUUAAAAAAAAAAAAAAAGAAAUUGCAUCUGUACUGAACAUGCAUGGACUGUGUUUUCUUGUCACCAUUGCCUAAAUAAUGCAGGGUAACAUCUGUUUACAAAGCACCUACUUUGCAUUAGGUAGUCUAAAUAAUUGAGAAGGGACUGAACACUAUGCCGACGGACAGGUGCAUCUGCAGAGCUGGGUGUCCACAGGGGUCCUGGAGGAUACUGGGGGACAACUGGGUUUUCAAAUCCCCUAAUCAGUAGGGAGCUCCACUUGCCAAGUCUUCCAAGUGGAUUUGGGCUUCCUCUCACCGAAACCCAGACCCGAGAGCCCUUCUCUUCUGUGGUGAACACUUCCUGAUGAAGAUCCCCCUGCCCUGCUCUGUCUCCCAGCCCUCCUGCAGUUAGGCAGGGCCACAGGACCAGCCCUGAGCAAUAGGCCGGGAGCAUGGCCCUGCAGAGACAGUGUGCAGGUGGUGACGUCGUGUCUGAAGUUGGAACUGAGUCACCACAAAGCAAGGUUGCACUGGAGAGUCACUGCCAUUCAGAGACCUUGGCCUCUGAAACAUUACCAGGGUAGCACAGCCCAGCCUGUCCUAUGGAAUGCACCCGGAGGCUGAAAGGGGCUCCAAUCAGCAUAGUCCCAGUUGGGAAGUCCUCAAUGGAAGCCGGUAAAUAGGCACUGAGUGCCGGCUACAUGUCCGCCGACUCUGACCCCUCUACCAGCGAGAGGAGACAGCCCCUCGCCAAAUAAGCGAGGGCCGAGCACCCAACCGAGGUGAACAUUUUGAAGGCAAUAAACCAGUUUCUUUUCUUUUUAAAAUGUAUUGGAAAGACAGAAAGUCAAAGACACCGAGAUCUUCCAUCUGCUGUUGACUCCCCAAAUGUUCACAACAGCCAGGGCUGGGCCAGGCCAAAGCCAGGAGCCAGGAACUCCAUCCAGAUCUCCCACGUGGGUGGCAGGGAUCCAGGUAUUUGAGUCGUGCCCUGCUGGCUGCUCAGGUACACGUCAGUAGGC